rnacentral:sRNA from 1 species
UAACAGUUCCGAAACGUCGUAGAUUGUGA